rnacentral:rRNA from 1 species
UACGGAGGGUGCGAGCGUUAAUCGGAAUUACUGGGCGUAAAGCGCGCGUAGGCGGUUUGAUAAGUCAGAUGUGAAAUCCCCGGGCUUAACCUGGGAAUGGCAUUUGAUACUGUCUGACUCGAGUGUGGUAGAGGGAAGUGGAAUUCCGCAUGUAGCGGUGAAAUGCGUAGAUAUGCGGAGGAACACCAGUGGCGAAAGCGGCUUCCUGGACCAACACUGACGCUGAGGUGCGAAAGCGUGGGGAGCAAACAGG